UUUUUUUUUAGAAUUUAAUCACCACUAAGGAUUUAACCCGUAAUACAUCACGGAACAAAUAUUUUAUUUAUAUAUAAUGAUACUAUUAAAUUUUAUAGUUUUAGUUUAAUAUUAAAAUUAUAUAAUUUUAUAUUAAUGUUAUAACUAAAACAUUGAUGAUGAUAAAAUAAUAAAAUAAAUAUUUAACAUGUGUUAUAUAUAUCAAUCUAAAUCCGUUCUGCUAUAUUUCAUAUCAAUGUAAACCCGUUCCGCUAUAUUUUUUGUCUCAUGAUAUUUUAACUUUUUAUAAGUUUAAAUAUUAGUUGUGAUUGUGAUUCUGGACUUUUAAUUCCAUGGAAUAUUCAAACCAAGAUAAGAAAGUUUUUAGGUGCAUAUAUAAUUGAGAAUAUUACGUGAUUAGACACUUUUUUGAAAGUUUAUCCGUAAUUAGGCACUUAAAAAUCAUUAGGCACUUUGAAUAAUUAAAAUUACUUGUUCACCCUCGUAUCGUCGGUUUUCUAUAACCAAACAAAUCAAAUCCAUUUUCACUAAACCAAUUCAGAUUUAUGGAGCCCACGAUUUUGUAGUUGCCUUUGUGAUUUAAAUUUUUUUUCCAGAAUCGUAAAAAUCCAAAUCCAAUAAAAAAUCCUAAAUUACAAUUUCUCGAAAAGGGGACUCCGGCGACGGGAUAUCCAUCUCCUCCGUCACUGUCCACCACCACUGCUUUUCACACUACACUCUCGUUUGCUCUUUCAACCGUAAAACACCAAACCCAAUUCUCUUGUCAUUUCCUCUAAAUCUCUGCAAUUUCUUAAAUCGAUUUGGAUUUACUUUGCCUGAAAAACUCUUAACUCGUACUGUCCAAACUCAAUUUCAAUUUCAAUUGAGGUUACUUCGAGAAAAGUUCAAGAAUUUCGGAACAACUAAGGUAAAGUUUUGUCAUGUUGACUUCGGAGAUCUUGUUCGUAAUUCUGUGAUAAUGUUUGAUAACUUCUCUGCCCAGUUUGUUUGAAAUUCAGUACUUGAGGUUCUCUAUUGGACAGAAGAUGAACAUAUGGACUACAACACUUGGACAAUCCGUAAUGGACAACCACACAUUUUGUUUGCAGCGUAUGUGUCGUUACAAAAUUGAAAAUCAUUGUCCACGACCAUACAUGACUGCACAGCUUGGUGUUUGAUAAUUCAAGGAAAAAGCCAUAUAAAGGUUCUAUUUCUUAAUCUUACAUUUUG
rnacentral:sRNA from 1 species